rnacentral:tRNA from 1 species
GCGCCCGUCGACUAGCGGUUAGGUCACGUCCCUUUCAAGGACGUAACACGGGUUCAACUCCCGUCGGGCGCACCA